UUACUUACCUGGCAGGGGAGACACCAUGAUCUAGAAGAUGGUUUUCCUACCAGCAGGGGAUAACUGCUUUUCUGGCAAGAGGUAGUACACUUGCAUAGUUAGUCUCCCAUUUUCACUACAGGUGGGAAGAUAUUGGCUUUAUGCCCACUUUAUGGAAAUGGGAGACUCCUCCCUAGCUUGCUCCUG
rnacentral:snRNA from 1 species